rnacentral:rRNA from 1 species
GACAGAGGGUGCAAACGUUGUUCGGAAUUACUGGGCGUAAAGCGCGUGUAGGUGGCAAGGCAAGUCGGGUGUGAAAGCCCGAGGCUCAACCUCGGAACUGCCUUCGAUACUGCGGGUCUCGAGUCCGGGAGAGGUGAGUGGAAUUCCUAGUGUAGAGGUGAAAUUCGUAGAUAUUAGGAAGAACACCAGUGGCGAAGGCGGACUCACUGGCCCGGUACUGACGCUGAGGCGCGAAAGCGUGGGGAGCAAACAGGG